rnacentral:rRNA from 1 species
ACGCACGCUGGCGGCAUGCCUAACACAUGCAAGUCGAACGCGACCUUCGGGUCUAGUGGCGCACGGGUGCGUAACGCGUGGGAACCUGCCCUUAGGUUCGGAAUAACUCCCCGAAAGGGGUGCUAAUACCGGAUAAUGUCUUCGGACCAAAGAUUUAUCGCCUUUGGAUGGGCCCGCGUUGGAUUAGCUAGUUGGUAGGGUAAAAGCCUACCAAGGCGACAAUCCAUAGCUGGUCUGAGAGGAUGAUCAGCCACACUGGGACUGAGACACGGCCCAGACUCCUACGGGAGGCAGCAGUGGGGAAUAUUGGACAAUGGGCGAAAGCCUGAUCCAGCAAUGCCGCGUGAGUGAUGAAGGCCUUAGGGUUGUAAAGCUCUUUUACCCGGGAUGAUAAUGACAGUACCGGGAGAAUAAGCUCCGGCUAACUCCGUG